UCUUCUUCUUCUUCCCUUCAUCUUCUCUUCUGCAAAUAUUGUUCUUCUUGGGAGCAGAAUUUUGGAACUCAAAGCAUCAAGAAACACAACCAUUUGUUCAUCAAUUCCAGUAUGGAACAUUACCAAUUUUAUCGUAGUUGGAUGUACGAUAGAAUGUUUCCUGGACGACGUGGGCUUAAACCACUUUUUAUGGAAGGAGUUGCCGCGUUUCUCUCGUUUGCGUUUGCUCAAGAAUGUUGUCGCAGGGAAGGAGGGGUAAGGUGUCCGUGUUUAAAGUGUGGUUGCAGAAAUAUUAUUAGUGACCCUAGUGAAGUGAAACGUCACUUGGAGAGAGUGGGUUUUAGGCCAAAUUACUGGGUUUGGACAUCUAAUGGGGAAACAAUGCAGGAGAUGAAUAGAGAGGCUUCUAGUAGUCAAACACAUAUAGAACUAGAUAUAAAUAGAGCUGAUCCAGGGAGUAG